rnacentral:rRNA from 1 species
UACGUAGGGUGCGAGCGUUGUUCGGAAUUACUGGGCGUAAAGGGAAUGUAGGUGGUGUCGUAAGUCAGAUGUGAAAGCCCCGGGCUUAACCCGGGAAGUGCAUUUGAUACUGCGAUGCUAGAGUGCGAGAGAGGAAAGCGGAAUUCCAGGUGUAGGGGUGAAAUCCGUAGAUAUCUGGAGGAAUACCGAUGGCGAAGGCAGCUUUCUGGCUCGUAACUGACACUGAGAUUCGAAAGCGUGGGUAGCAAACAGG